rnacentral:rRNA from 1 species
UACGAAGGGGGCUAGCGUUGCUCGGAAUUACUGGGCGUAAAGGGCGCGUAGGCGGUUCUUUAAGUCAGGCGUGAAAUUCCUGGGCUUAACCUGGGGGCUGCGCUUGAGACUGUGGGACUUGAGGUCAGGAGAGGGUCGUGGAAUUCCCAGUGUAGAGGUGAAAUUCGUAGAUAUUGGGAAGAACACCGGUGGCGAAGGCGGCGACCUGGUCUGAUACUGACGCUGAGGCGCGACAGCGUGGGGAGCAAACAGG